rnacentral:rRNA from 1 species
AGAGUUUGAUCCUGGCUCAGAGUGAACGCUGGCGGUAGGCCUAACACAUGCAAGUCGAACGGCAGCACAGGAGAGCUUGCUCUCUGGGUGGCGAGUGGCGGACGGGUGAGGAAUACAUCGGAAUCUACUCUGUCGUGGGGGAUAACGUAGGGAAACUUACGCUAAUACCGCAUACGACCUACGGGUGAAAGCAGGGGACCUUCGGGCCUCGCGCGACUGAAUGAGCCGAUGUCGGAUUAGCUAGUUGGCGGGGUAAAGGCCCACCAAGGCGACGAUCCGUAGCUGGUCUGAGAGGAUGAUCAGCCACACUGGAACUGAGACACGGUCCAGACUCCUACGGGAGGCAGCAGUGGGGAAUAUUGGACAAUGGGCGCAAGCCUGAUCCAGCCAUACCGCGUGGGUGAAGAAGGCCUUCGGGUUGUAAAGCCCUUUUGUUGGGAAAGAAAUCCAGCUGGCUAAUACCCGGUUGGGAUGACGGUACCCAAAGAAUAAGCACCGGCUAACUUCGUGCCAGCAGCCGCGGUAAUACGAAGGGUGCAAGCGUUACUCGGAAUUACUGGGCGUAAAGCGUGCGUAGGUGGUCGUUUAAGUCCGUUGUGAAAGCCCUGGGCUCAACCUGGGAACUGCAGUGGAUACUGGAUGACUAGAAUGUGGUAGAGGGUAGCGGAAUUCCUGGUGUAGCAGUGAAAUGCGUAGAGAUC